GAGGGUAUAGCUCAAUGGUAGAGCACAUGCUUAGUAUGCAUGAGGUCCUGGGUUCAAUCCCCAGUAGCCCUA
rnacentral:tRNA from 1 species